rnacentral:ribozyme from 1 species
AGGAGUAGAAUUCCAAAACAAUACAUAACCAAAAAAGAGACACGUGUGUGUGUGAGAGUUUUUUUUUUUUUUUUUUUU